rnacentral:rRNA from 1 species
GAUGAACGCUGGCGGCGUGCCUAAUACAUGCAAGUCGAGCGAACAGACGAGGAGCUUGCUCCUCUGACGUUAGCGGCGGACGGGUGAGUAACACGUGGAUAACCUACCUAUAAGACUGGGAUAACUUCGGGAAACCGGAGCUAAUACCGGAUAAUAUAUUGAACCGCAUGGUUCAAUAGUGAAAGACGGUUUUGCUGUCACUUAUAGAUGGAUCCGCGCCGCAUUAGCUAGUUGGUAAGGUAACGGCUUACCAAGGCAACGAUGCGUAGCCGACCUGGGAGGGUGAUCGGCCACACUGGAACUGAGACACGGUCCAGACUCCUUCGGGAGGCAGCAGUAGGGAAUCUUCCGCAAUGGGCGAAAGCUUGACGGAGCAACGCCGCGUGAGUGAUGAAGGUCUUCGGAUCGUAAAACUCUGUUAUUAGGGAAGAACAAAUGUGUAAGUAACUAUGCACGUCUUGACGGUACCUAAUCAGAAAGCCACGGCUAACUACGUG